GUUGUGUAUCAAAGUAGGGAGUUUUUGGCACUCCAUUUAAGGAUGGAAGAGGUCCUUGUGGCCUUUAAAAUGCAUAUAUGUUUAAGGCAUUUCCAUGUACUUUGUGGCACCUAACCAUCAUUUUUC